GACUACGAAGCCACUGGAACGAAGAAACUCCAACCACGUUUGAACAUCAGAAGGGGCAGACUCCAGACGCUUCAUCUUAAGAGCUGUAACACUCACUGUGAAGGUCUGCAGCUUCACUCCUGAGCCAGCGAGACCACGAACCGAUCUGAACAUCAGAAGGGACAGACUCCAGAUGCCCCACCUUAAGAGCUGUAAUACUCACUGCAAGGGUCUGCAGCUUCAUUCUUGAAGUCAGACCAAGAACCCAGCAAUUCCCAACACACAGGGACCAGCUUCUUUCCUAACUCACUUAGGCUCUUCGUGCUGCUCUGGCAACUAACACCCUUGGCUGCAGGGGCUUGGACACUACCCUUAGUCACUGACAAUUGUGUGAAGGCUGCUGUCGUUAACUUCACUUGAUCACCUUAGGCUCCUGUGAAGUGGUGAGCAAUUCAAACAAAUUCCUGUCGUCAAAUCAUGAGUCCACCUGUCCCGAGUUGGAAGUCUGAACUCAUGUUCCUGGAUUCCUCCCAUGCAUCUUGGUGCUGGUGUGGGGCCUGAACUCAGCCAAUCCGCAACACCUCCAGGAGUCUUCCUCUUAGAUGCUGAGGCCACGGAGAAGGAAGCAGCACAAAGAAUGAACCCUGGAGAGGGUGCCAGAGGCAGGCGGGUUCCAGCCAUGUGGCGGCACAGCCUUACUGGGAUAGUCUAGCUGUGUCACUCAGAUGGAGAAAUUGCACUGCAGAGAAAUCUUUAAAAGCAAUUACCUAAUACUGCAGAUUGCUGAACUGUACCCACACCCAAGACUGAGCAUUGGAUCAAUCCAGAAUAUACAUCAGGUGUUCUGCAAUGUCUGCCUAAAACCAUGACUCUGCCUCCUCCAGCUGUUGCUACAUCUCACUAUGGGUUUCCUGUGACAUUUUGAGCAAGUAUGCCUCUGUGACUGGGGUUCUUACACUCCAGAAUGGAUGAGAAGCACCCCUCCUGUGGAGCCGGCCGUGGAAACGCCCUGACAUGGAGUCAGAAGCCCGAGCCCGUGUUUCAGACUUGGCGUUCAUUGACCAGAAGAGCUGCUUCACCACUUAACCAUGCAGCUUCAAGGGCUCCAUCUGCAAAACGCAGGCUUGAACCACAGGACUGGUUAUGCUCCUUCUUGUUCUGUGUCCUCUAAAUCCACCCCGUGGGAUGGUUCUCAUCCUCAUUUCUAGGAAAACAAGGCCCAGGUGGAAUCUCUUUUCUCAUCUGCAGGACUGAUGCCUUUCUUGGCCUAAAUUUCAACAACAUGUGACUAUAAAACUUACCUGUGUGUGAACCCUACAGAUAUUUGCGGGGGUGUUGUGUGGGGAGAUGACCCCAUGGUGGGCCCCUAGCGCCGGCCUCUUGCUAUCAUGCUGAGCACGCCCACCUUGCCGCAGCCUAGGAUCUCCCUUUCCCACCGGCACUCUCUUGCCUGGAGUGUGGAUCCACUGUGGCUUUCCCUCGCCCCAUCCUCCAGCUUGGUGGGUAGUAAUAUCUUCUGUCCCUCUUUAGACUCGGGGGCCUAACUGGAAAACAGGUGCAUUGGUAGAUUUAGUAGCAGAGGAGUCCAAGAGUUCUAGUGCUCUACAUGGGCAUGAGACCAAAGCCCAUAAAUACAUGUUCGCGGGGUGCCUACUGUAUACCCAAUGCUGUAAGGUAGUGUCCCCAAAGCAUACUGCUGCAGAACACUAGUUUUGUGGGGUGUUCAACGAUAUUACCUGGAGAAAAGAGUCCAGAAUCUAACAAGUUUGGGAAACUCUGGAUUAAAUAAGGUUAACUAUGUUUCUUUUAGGUAGUCCUUCUCAGAGACUUAAGAUGAGAGCAUGCAUUGGGAACUUCCAAAAUGGGAGAUGCAGUGGGAGGCACUCCCAUAGUUAGGUAACCAGGCAGCCCCUUUUUACUUAUUUUAUUUUAUUUUUUUGAGAUGGAGUCUUACUAUGUUACCCAGGCUGGACUCAAACUUCUGAGCUCAAGCAGUUAUCCCACCUCAGCCUUAUCCCACCUCAGCCUCCUAAGUAGCUGGGACUACAGGCACGAGCCACCACACCUGGCUUUUUUAAAAACAAAGGACCAUAUUUUGGAAACACAUAGGCCCUGUAGCACACAGACCCAUGGGAUCUCCUGGCCACCUGGCCCAGCCCAUCUUCCGCAGAUAUGAAUCCUGGACCUGAGGGAGAAGCGAAGCAACUUGCCCCAGGGCCCCACGGCUAACACUGUAGGCCACGCUUCCCAUUUCUCAGCUGAAAUAAAAGGUAUGUUUUUGUUGCAAAUAUUUAGUUGACCAUUAAUUUACCUAAAACCAGUGACUCUCACCGGGACACACAGACUUUUGAAAAGAAAAAUCAUUAAAGUGAAAAAAGGAGAUUUUCAGGUAACUGCAGUUUUUUAUUUUUAUUUUUUGACAUGGAGUCUCGCUCUGUCACCCAGGCUGGGGUGCAGUGGCACAAUCUCGGCUCACUGCAUCCUCCACCUCCUGGGUUUAAGCAAUUCUCCUGCCUCAGCCUCCCAAGUAGCUGGGAUUAGAGGUGUAUACCACCACGCCUGGCUAAUUUUUAUAUUUUUAGUAGAGACAGGGUUUCAUCACGUUGGGGGCUUAGUCUCAAACUCCUGACCUCAAGUGAUCCGCCUGCCUCAGCCUCCCAAAGGGCUGGGAUUACAGGCAUGAACCACCACGCCCAGCCAACUGCAGCUUUCUAGCAGCCAAGUGUGUGUUCUUUAUUAUCUUGAAUCCCAGUGAAAAAUUAGAGAAAAAAUUGUGUGUAUAUGGCACUAUCAAGUUUGAAUGUUAUACUUUUUACUAAGAGAAAUAAAAUCAAGGAAACAAAAUGCAAUAAUAAACACAACCUUAAGUUGUCAGUUUUCUCUAAGAGGUAUAAUUUCAUCAAAAGCAUAAUUGUAAGCUUUACCUUGUUAAUAACUUUAUUGAUCAUAACUGAUUAUUGCAAUGGACUGAAUGUUUGUGUCCCCCAAAAUCCAUAUGUUGAAAUUCUAACCCCCAAGAUGAUGAUAUUAGGAGGUGGGGCCUUUGGAAGGUGAUGAGGUCAUGAGGAUGGGGCCCUUGUGAAUGAGAUUAGUGCCCUUCUUAAAGGACACUAUUUCUGCCACAUGAGGACACAGGAAGAAGGCAGCUGUCUGCAGCCUGGAAGAGUGCCCUCAUCAGAACCCUAACAUGCUGGCUCCUUUAUCUCCAACUUCUAUCUUCCAGAACUAUGAGAAAUAGGUUUCUGUUGUUUAGAAGCCACCCAGUCCAUGAUACUUUGUUAUGGCAGUCUGAACUAAAACAGAUAUUAUCUUGAUUAUAUUUUCUAAAACACAAUAUGUUUUGACCAUAGUUCAUGUACUGACCAACGCCUUUUUAAUCAUCUAGGAGAAAACAAUGCAUUAAUCUUUCCAGCAUUGCAGUUAUCCUCAUUUUGGUAGAAGAGAGAAAGUCCUCUGAGGUCAGGGAAAAAUCAAAGUUUGGAACCACAAUACAUGGUAUGGUGGUAUGAAUAGAAGUGGUAUAUGCAUUGUCCUUCCAGGCUAGAGGGGGAUCAUCAACAUUCUUUGAGAGUGGCUUCCAGGUGGUCGUUCAAAUCAAAGUACAUGUUUCUUCCGGAAGCUCAUUUAGUAAAAUAUGUGGUGUAACUAUGAAAACUUGGUUGCCUGAACUUUUCCCUGUUGGGAUGUGCCAUACUCCUCUAGAAACAUCAGAAAAGAUUACAACUGGUCAUCACCAGUCUUUUGCUUCAUCAACAACAAUGCAAAAUGGCUAUUUAAAGGAGCAACACUAGUUAGUAAAAAUAUAUUUGCAUACACAAAACUGCUAACAUCCAAGUGCCUGGCCAUGUUAUUUUCAAUAAAGCCACAAUCAUUACUUUUUCAUUUCAUCAUCUUUUUCAUUAGCAUGGGAAAACCUUUUAGUAGCAGAAGCUCAUUUGCUUUUAUCUACUUUUCUGUGCUCUCACAAUAAACAAGCAAAGCAACUUAAUUUCAACACAUGGAUAGAAAGAGCAUAAGUCUAUAUUCCCUUCUUUUCUGGGGAACAAAUAGGGCAGGGACUUCUGAAACUAGAGAUGUUCCUGUAGAGACAGAUAUGUGUAAUAUCUGUAAAAAUUUACAAAGACAAUGCUACAAGUUUGCUGCGUCAGACCAUCAGAAUUGUAAUUGCUUUUGUUCUUCCAAAAGCCCCACAGGAUUUAGUACAUAACUACGUAAUUGAAAAUCGUUUAUUAUCUAUGCCUUACCUAGGUUUGUUAAUUGCCUUACGUUUGUUAAUUAAUAAUUUGAAAAUGAUACAUGUAUUUGAGAUACAUAUGUGUGUGUAUAUAUAUACACUUUUUGUAUAUAUAAUUAUAUAUAUAAAGUAUAUAUACUUUUAUAAUAUUAUAGAUGUAAAUUUAUAUAUACUUUUCCCUAGUUCUGUGCACUGAAAUGUCUUAGAACAACACCCAGAUUAUGGCUAUGAAGUACUAUUUCCCACAAAACCAAUAAAAUGAAAAUCCAUGGGGAGCCUUGGAGAAGUGGGUGACUCUAGGUCUGAGGUAGAGAAUGUCAAAGGUGAGACUGGACCCCCAGGACACUGUCAAAGAUCACUAGGACUCACACACCAGCCUGACGAGGCUCCCAAUGGCCUCAAACACCCCAAAGAUGGGGACCAUUCGAACAUUAUGCACACAAUAGUUUCAACGGACCAAAACAACUGUGAGUUUAUAAUUGAUUUUUUUUUUUAAAAAAACCACACACCAAAAAUCUAACUAGUCACUAUUGGGGGAUGCUGAUGACCAACUUAUUUUUUGAAAAUGGGUAAAUAAGGGGAAAGAGACAGCCAUUUAUUCACCUUUCCUAUGCAAACUAUACUACUGGUAACCAAACAGCAAAUGAGGGGAAGUUUUUCUUUACAGGAGCAUUCUAGCUAAGAAAUGAAGGAGGCGUGACAGAAAAUAACCAUUUUGCAGCUCCUUGUGGACUAAUGAAUAGAUGCAUUGAGCAAUAACAAUUGCUACUAUGAGAGAGAGAGAAAGAGAGAGAGAGAGCGCACGCCAGAUAUUAUAUAUCCUGAUGGAAGAAUACAGCACCACCUGUGAAAUAUUUCCCACUCCUCAUUCUCUGCUGGAAAAAAGGACCUGACUCUGAACAGGCCUCUAGAUACAACUACCAAGAGAGAGGAAGUACAGAGGGACAUGGGAAGCCACCAUGGGGAUGCCAUCAGCACUCUGGUCAGGGGAGAUGCUACAGGACAGCAAUGUGGCUUCCACCAGAAAUAAAAUGCAAGAAGGACCUUUAGAUUGAAAAAGACCUGAGACAUAACAACGAAUCACAGGCGUGGGCUUCAUUUAGAUCUUGACUGAAGCAAAUAAACCAUAAAAGGAAAUAAAAUUAUGAAAUGUAUGAGUCAACUGGAAAUUCAAAUAUGACUGGACAUGUGAUGGCCUGUUAAGAAACUAUCUUUGAUUGUUUACAGAUGUGAUUGUGGUAUUGUGAUUAUGUUGGGGGAGGGAAAGAAUUUAUCCUUUUAGUGACACAUACUGAAAUAUUUACAGAUUAAGUGAUAAGGUCUCUAGGAUUUGCUUCAAAUUAGUAUAAGAGUAGAGUACCUAGGGGCGGUUAAAAUGAAACAACAUUGUUCACGAGUUAAUUAUUUAAGAAUUUAAAGCAUAUGGACAUAUGGGGAUAUAUUAUACUAUUCUGUAUUGAACUACUUUGGUGAAAAUAAUGAAAAGUUUUCAAAAAAUAAUUAUA
ensembl:lncRNA novel transcript